AUCCCAUGAUGAGGCAGGCGUGAAUGUACUAAUUGAGACGUUCCCAUGCUUCAGGAAUCGUCUCAUCAGACUAUUGCUGGAAGCUCGAAAUCUUCCCACGUAGGGC
rnacentral:snoRNA from 1 species